rnacentral:misc_RNA from 1 species
AUAUAAGGAAGCCGCAGAAACCGUUUAUUGGUUAAUUGAAUCGAUUAAAGCAAGAAAAAUGAAGAGGAAAAUGAAGUGGAAAAUUAAGUGAAAAAAGUAAAGCUCAAGGAUCACGUUCAAGAUGACAAUAAAGAUUUUAAGGGGGAUUGUUGCCAACGUUGAUGAAGACGGAAGGCUAUACAGUACAAAACCGCUACAUUUUCCCUAAGGAAAGGAUAGCAAAAAAUUUGAUGACAUAUUUGUUUGACGACCUUAGAAUAUUAACGCGUAAGAGAUUUUCAUAUUUGGAAUUCGAACGUUCUUGAGCGUACACAUUUUUUAUCAUAUUUUGUGUUCCAGAGACGCCAUUUUUUAAAUUAUACUUGUAAAUCGUAUAUAGGUAUUGAAUAAUACAUACCUAUAUAGUAUAAGCAUUAAAUACUAAGACUUUUACUAAUCGAGUUAAAAA